rnacentral:lncRNA from 1 species
AAAGUUCAUCCAUAUUGUAGCACAUACGAGAAGAUGACUUUUUAAAAAGUUUUUAAUUAAAACAUAACAUAAAAAGUGAAAAGUGCAUAACUUGCUCACAACCUGAACACAUCAGGACCCAGGGAGUCAAGAGAUGAUGACUGAUGACUCAGCCUCCUCAGCUCGGCUUCCCAGAGCUCCACUCACCACAUCAGUGAGCCUGGCAUGCAGGGGGAGACAUAAACACAACCAUGGUGUUGAUAUCAAUCCUAGCAGAGAUGUCACAAGCCAAGGUCUGGGAAGAGGAAGAAUGAAUCAGGAUAAAACUUCAGUGGAAAAAAGACCAAGUGAGAGACUUAAAAGUCACGACUAAAGAAUUGUGCUGCUUAUUGCUGUUGAGUUCCCCUCUGCUCCCACAGAAGACAAGGAGAAGGAAUGUCACAGGGGCUUGAGUAUCCCUCUAGGGAAGAGUGGCUGGAACACCUAAUGUGAAAGUUUGGGGAAUCUUUGGCUGCUGAGGUUUGGAGAUUGGGAGAGCUCAGAGGGAUGAUGAUAUAACAUUGGAGAAAGGAUGUUGGAACCUCACCCACCUGUGUUUGCCUUCCCAUGCAACUGGAGCAGUGGAAGUUAGAAAGUAGGGUAUGAAAAACGACUGGAAGCAGAGAUCCUCUCCCACAGAGGGGUAGAAUUGGAAGACGCACUCAGAAAGCCUUACGGCCAACCUCCUCAGUUUUCAUACAGGCAAACUAAAUAUUACAGAUGGGAAAAUGGACCUUAGAGAUGACUGAACUCAAAGUCUUCAUUCUACUAAGGAGAAGAUGGGCCUGAGGUGCUCACUCUGAUGGAAGCCAGCUGCUAUGCUGUGUGUUGCUCUAUGGAGAGACUCAGGUAGAAGGAAUUGAAGGAGGCUUUCGGCCAACAGUCAGCAAGGUACUGAGGCUUUCAGUCCAAGAGCCUAUAAGGAACUGAAUCCUACCAGCAACCAAGCAAGUGGCUUGAAAAUGGACCCUCUCUCAGCUGAGUCUUUGAAUAAGAUCACAGCUCUUAUUCAAUAUGACACCUUGAUUGUAGUCUUGUUAGAGAUCUUGAGCCAGUGGCACCCAGCUAAGCUGUACCUGUAUUCCUGACCCAUAA